rnacentral:tRNA from 1 species
GUUCUUGUAGUUGAAUAACAACGGUGGNUUUU